GUUGUCCAUAUCAUUAAAAAAAUAUCGUCCCAUAGAAGCUCUUUAUUUUGCCACGUCCGAUAAGCUUUAGACAAGAUUUAAAUAUAUUUACGGCCCAGUUCAAUAUCACUAGAGAAAGCCCUAUUAUCCAAAUAUCGUCGAUCGGACUCUAUCCAUCCACUUCUUCUUCUCCACGUCAGAUGAAAUAUUCAAGCCAAUGACAUUAAUACACAUCAGCAAGAAACAAAUUGUUGCAUAGGACACGACAAUUCUUCCUUAUUAUAUCACGAAGCUCUUCAUCUCCUAUCAAAACUGUUUCAUAUACAAUAAAUUUGCGUGAACCAAUUCAACAUAACGUAUGCCUUUUCGAUUCUUCUUUCUAAUUUAUUUAUUAGUGUUGAUUUAAAGAUGCUCCGAGUGAUGGCGGUGAAGCUCAUUUCCAAAUCGCAACUGUUGGGUAUCAACAAUUGGAAGUCAAGGUGGUAUUUAUAAUCUUCCAUCUUCUCUUCUGUAUUUCUCGGCUAUACUCAGCUAGCUAUUCAAAACACCUCGGUUAGACUUUGUUCUUCGUAUAUUUGCUUCAAUAGUUUGAAAUAAUGACAUAAGCUCUGUUCGUUUCUCUAACGCUGACGCGGCGUUAAGCGACCAAAAAAUACAAACAAAACAGAGAAAUUUAAUUGCAGCGUCAUUAUGAAGUUGCCGCCGGCGACUCUCAGCUACUGAUUUUCUGUGUUUUCAUCGUCGCCAUCGUCGCCGUGAAUAUUAGCGGCUCCAAUACAUGUGCUGACCUGUGGAUCGCGUCAUAAAUCCUUGUCUUUUAACUCUCUAUUGUAAUUUCUUGCUGACUUGGCAUCUAAAAUCCUUUUAUAUUUUAUUGCCGCUUGACGCUGACGCUGCGUCUCCAAAAAGAACAGGGCCAUAAUGUUUCUUGAAGUGGAUGGACUCUCCUUUAUUUGCUGUACAUCUACUGUAGUUUAAGGAACACGAAGGUCAAACUAAUGGUGAAUAUGGAAGUUUGAUAAAGAAUAAUUAGUUAAUCAGUAACUUCAUAGUCUUUUUUUAGUAUUACAUUAGUUGGUGGAACUCUUUCGUGGAAGCCCCUUAUGACUUUGGUGGAGUCUUUCGCUGCACAACAAAUGAUUAGCAGAUCGAUUAUGGAAAAGUCGUCUCUUCAACACUCCUCUUUGUGAACAAAUAUGUAUUUCUUUUAAUCCUUCACAUGUUUAACUUGCCUGUGUUUUGGGUUGGAUUCUGUAUUGGUCUAGCAGCAAUGUUGUCUUCUUGGCUGCAUUAGAUUUAUACUACUGUUAACUGAAUUUGACAUAUACUGGUGUUUGAUCGUGACAGGGAAAUCGAGCAAAUGUAGAAAUUCAGUUUGCAGAUUACAUACACUCUGCUUUUGACCAAGUUAGUUUUCCCAUCUUAAAAAAAAAUAAUCUGAUUUCAACCGUUUAGUUUGUGAAUCAUAGAUUCUUAGUGAAACAAAAAUGAGCAAGUAUGUAAUAUAAAAAUGUACAAGAAUAUGGUCAGUCAGAAAAUGUUUCUUCACAUCAUCUCUCUUAGCUUACGCUUUGCAAGAAAUUACUUCUACUAUCUUGGUCGCUCUGUUAUCACUGAAGAAAGCUGGAGCGAUGAACAACUGUGCAUCAACAAUAAGCUUUGGUAUGCACUUUGAAAACUGAAAGCCGAGAAAGUUGCGUGAAGAACAUCAAAUACAAAAGGACUAAAGCUUGCCUCUAUGACCAGACCAACUCUUAUCACUGGUCAUGACUUCUUCCAUCUUCCAUCUUCCUUCCCCUUCAACCUUGUCUCAUCUCAAAGUUAAACCUUACUUUUGCAUGUAAAAACCUUAAUCUUUGGAUGGAGACUGAUCAUGAGGAAGCUUCAUAUGCUUCUGAAACUGCACAAAAAAAGGAAAUCUAAGGGAUUUUGACAUUCAAGGGAAAAGCCGGUCAAUAUGCUUUUCAUUCAUUAUUUGUCUCUGUUGGAGUCUGUUUUUCAUGUUCUAUAAGCCAAAGUUAACAUUCGUUUUGAUCUCCACAUUGUUUUACCCAUAAAAUUAUCAUACAUAUAUGUAAUUUUUGUUUAUUAUAUUUGCAUAGUUAUACUCUGA